rnacentral:rRNA from 1 species
CCUACGGGAGGCAGCAGUGGGGAAUAUUGGACAAUGGGGGCAACCCUGAUCCAGCCAUGCCGCGUGUGUGAAGAAGGCCCUCGGGUUGUAAAGCACUUUCAGUGAGGAAGAACGCCUGGUGGUUAAUACCCAUUAGGAAAGACAUCACUCACAGAAGAAGCACCGGCUAACUCCGUGCCAGCAGCCGCGGUAAUACGGAGGGUGCGAGCGUUAAUCGGAAUUACUGGGCGUAAAGCGCGCGUAGGUGGCUUGAUAAGCCGGUUGUGAAAGCCCCGGGCUCAACCUGGGAACGGCAUCCGGAACUGUCAAGCUAGAGUGCAGGAGAGGAAGGUAGAAUUCCCGGUGUAGCGGUGAAAUGCGUAGAGAUCGGGAGGAAUACCAGUGGCGAAGGCGGCCUUCUGGACUGACACUGACACUGAGGUGCGAAAGCGUGGGUAGCAAACAGGAUUAGAUACCCGGGUAGUC